CCUGCCGGCGAGUGGCGAACGGGUGAGUAAUACAUCGGAACGUGCCCUGUAGUGGGGGAUAACUAGUCGAAAGACUAGCUAAUACCGCAUACGACCUGAGGGUGAAAGUGGGGGACCGCAAGGCCUCAUGCUAUAGGAGCGGCCGAUGUCUGAUUAGCUAGUUGGUGGGGUAAAGGCCCACCAAGGCGACCAUCAGUAGCUGGUCUGAAAGGACGAUCAGCCACACUGGGACUGAAACACGGCCCAGACUCCUACGGGAGGCAGCAGUGGGGAAUUUUGGACAAUGGGGGCAACCCUGAUCCAGCAAUGCCGCGUGUGUGAAGAAGGCCUUCGGGUUGUAAAGCACUUUUGUCCGGAAAGAAAUCGCACUGGUUAAUACCUGGUGUGGAUGACGGUACCGGAAGAAUAAGGACCGGCUAACUACGUGCCAGCAGCCGCGGUAAUACGUAGGGUCCAAGCGUUAAUCGGAAUUACUGGGCGUAAAGCGUGCGCAGGCGGUUGUGCAAGACCGAUGUGAAAUCCCCGGGCUUAACCUGGGAAUUGCAUUGGUGACUGCACGGCUAGAGUGUGUCAGAAGGAGGUAGAAUUCCACGUGUAGCAGUGAAAUGCGUAGAGAUGUGGAGGAAUACCGAUGGCGAAGGCAGCCUCCUGGGAUAACACUGACGCUCAUGCACGAAAGCGUGGGGAGCAAACAGGAUUAGAUACCCUGGUAGUCCACGCCCUAAACGAUGUCAACUAGUUGUUGGGGAUUCAUUUCCUUAGUAACGUAGCUAACGCGUGAAGUUGACCGCCUGGGGAGUACGGUCGCAAGAUUAAAACUCAAAGGAAUUGACGGGGACCCGCACAAGCGG
rnacentral:rRNA from 1 species